GCUCGGUGAGAUGCAUGCACGGACACACUCUCGAUAAUGUAACUAAAAGAAAACUCAAGUUGCUCCUACUAGCAUUAUAACACAUGUUUGCAAAACUAUUAUUUAUUGGUUUUCUUCCUGUUUUUUUUUUUCUUUUUCUUCUUCUUUUUCUUUUUCUUCCUUAUUUUU
rnacentral:ribozyme from 11 species